UAAAUUGAAGCCCCCUGGCUUGGGUUUUUAGUUGUUAACUAAAGGUUUACGGGAUCGAGGCCCGUCGAUCUAG
rnacentral:tRNA from 1 species